UAGUCCAUGCCGUAAACGAUGGAUACUAGUCGUCGGGACACCUAAUUGUUUCGGUGACGUCGCUAACGCUUUAAGUAUCCCGCCUGGGGAGUACGGUCGCAAGAUUAAAACUCAAAUGAAUUGACGGGGGCCCGCACAAGCGGUGGAUUAUGUGGUUUAAUUCGAAGCAACGCGCAAAACCUUACCAAGACUUGAAAUCCUCGGAACCCGACGUAAUUGUUGGGGUGCCCGCAAGGGAAUCGAGUGACAGGUGCUGCAUGGCUGUCGUCAGCUCGUGUUGUGAAAUGUUGGGUUAAGUCUCGCAACGAGCGCAACCCCUAUUUUUAGUUGCCAGCAUUAAGUUGGGCACUCUAGAGAGACCGCCUGGGCAACCAGGAGGAAGGUGGGGAUGACGUCAAGUCCUCAUGGCCCUUAUGUCUUGGGCUACACACGUAAUACAAUGGUACAUACAAAGGGAAGCGAACUCGCGAGGGGGAGCAAAUCUCAAAAAGUGUAAUCUCAGUCCGGAUUGGAGUCUGCAACUCGA
rnacentral:rRNA from 1 species